rnacentral:lncRNA from 1 species
GGCAAUGGAACAGCCACUCAGCAGCACAGUUGCACAUUAUAUAAGCUACCAGCUACGGACCUCUGUAGCCGUCAUGCAAAGCUACCAGUUGCACAUUCUUCUUUUAGUAAAUACGACCCUCCAUGGUUGUUCCCUAAUGAAUAAUUAAGGCGAAGGAUGCACAAAGACAAAAAUGGGAAGUAAGUUCAACACAUUAACAACAAAAAAUUGUAAUAGAUGAGAUUAUAAUCAUGCAUCACACGCUCCUUCCUCUAGAAUAAACAACAUGCACCAUACGUGACUAACAAUAGUACAUCUAUAAAGAUAUUUAUGUAUGCAUGUACGUACAAUUUUUGUUCAUGUAAAUUUACAAUACAUGGGUAUAUGCAUAAAAUGUGUACAGAGCCAAUCUUUUAAAACAAACUAAAAAUAUAAAAUAAAUGGGUAUAUAAUCUGGAUCGAUCAGAAAACAUGAAAGUUACAUGCAUAAUCUACAUCUACCAGCAAAUUAUGUUCAGAAUAUCUCAUUAUUGCCUCAGAAAUCAGAGAAAAACAAUCAUAAUAGAAUCAUAACUUGAACAAUAAGCCUCAACUUCCUCCACAAAUUAUCACUAUUUUAAGAUGGGAAAGAAGAGGAGAAAGGAAGGGAUAUCGACAGCACCUUCCACCUCCACCGCGAAAAAGCAGCCAUGGAUUAAUAGUAAGAGAAUUACUGUUUUAGACGAAGGGCAUCAUCAUGACCACCACAAAACAUAUGCCUCUAAAUUUUACUGGAGGAAAUGACCAUGGCAAUUAAAAAAUUCAUAAGUUUUUUGACACAAGAAUAAGAUAUGACAAUAACAAAAAAUGAAAAGGAGACAAAAAAAUGGCUUGCGGAGUUGAGCAGGAGGAAAGGCUUACUUGGCCCCACUUAUCAGAAACCUUGUGCCAUCACCAGUAGGGUGCAGUGUUAAGCCUGCAGAGCAACUGACCUUCCAAAUUGCAAAGAAUGCAACUUUUACAUUUUAUUUCAACAUUGACACAAACUAACUGGAAAAUAAUACUACAAAAUACAGAGUAAGUAUAAAUUAUUGAUUUUAAAGAAUUAAAAAAAACACAUUUCUGUUCAAGAUAGCCACUAAGAAGAUGUGGCAAAUAAUUACAUAAGCGAAUGAUCUCAGUAGACAAGAAAUGUUGAUAUGCUCAAGGGAGGGUUAUUUUAGAUCGUGUUAGCCAAUGGAGUACGCAUCAAGAACAUCAUCCUAGCAGAGCAAGAAGAGGAAGAAGAAGAAGAGGAGGAGGAGGAAGAAUGAGAAGAAUAGCAGAUCCAAAAUGGGAGGCUCAGAGGAAAUUUUGAAUCGACAGGACCAAAGGAUCUCCCUUUCUCAGCUCUUCCACCCAGCGACCUCUCCAUCUCAAGAUGGCUGCACAUCGGUUGCCUGCAGGAAAGCAGACCCUCCAGAGCUGCCUCGCCCAUCGUUCUAGAAGAGAGAAGACAAGCAGAGGAGAGGAGGAGAGAUGG